rnacentral:rRNA from 1 species
UACGGGGGGGGCAAGCGUUGUUCGGAAUUACUGGGCGUAAAGGGCUCGUAGGCGGCCAACUAAGUCAGACGUGAAAUCCCUCGGCUUAACCGGGGAACUGCGUCUGAUACUGGAUGGCUUGAAUCCGGGAGAGGGAUGUGGAAUUCCAGGUGUAGCGGUGAAAUGCGUAGAUAUCUGGAGGAACACCGGUGGCGAAGGCGGCAUCCUGGACCGGUAUUGACGCUGAGGCGCGAAAGCUGGGGGAGCAAACAGGG